UACGAGAGGCCCAAACGUUAUUCGGAUUUACUGGGCUUAAAGAGUUCGUAGGCGGUCUAGCAAGUGAGGUGUGAAAGCCCUCGGCUCAACCGAGGAAUUGCGCUUCAAACUGCUAGGCUCGAGGGAGAUAGAGGUGAGCGGAACUGAUGGUGGAGCGGUGAAAUGCGUUGAUAUCAUCAGGAACACCAGAGGCGAAGGCGGCUCACUGGGUCUUUUCUGACGCUGAGGAACGAAAGCUAGGGGAGCAAACGGG
rnacentral:rRNA from 1 species